GCGGCGGCUCAGUGGCCGCGGCGGGCGCGGGCGGGACGCGGUGCGGCGCCGCGGGCUGCCGGGCUUGGCCGUGCCGCGGACCGGCGAGCGGCGGCAGCGCGUCCCGGUACCCUCACCGUCUGGCCGGGAAACUUUUCCGCGGGCGCCCGGCAGGGGGCAAGGGGACAGGAGCCUUUAAGAUGAAUACCACAGCAAUUAGCCCACUCACUGUUACUCCCCUAGGUUUUGUUCCAGACUUAAAAAAUGCCACCCUUGUGCCUUUCAAUGAGACUGCAUGUGAAAACUGGAGAGAGAUUCAUCAUCUUGUUUUCCAUGUGGCAAAUAUUUGUUUUGCAAUUGGACUAGUUAUUCCAACUACUCUGAAUCUUCAUAUGAUUUUUCUGCGAGGCCUGCUGACCAUAGGAUGUGCGUUGUUCAUCAUUUGGGCUACACUCUACCGUUGUGCCUUGGACAUAAUGAUCUGGAAUUCUGUUUUUUUAGUUGUCAACCUUUUACAUUUUAUAUACCUAGUGUAUAAGAGAAGACCGAUCAAGAUAGAGAAGGAGCUUAGCAGUCUCUACAAGAGAAUGUUUGAACCACUGCAUGUGCCUCCAGAGCUGUUCCAAAGAUUAACUGGACAAUUCUGCAAUAUUCAGACUUUAAAGACAGGUCAAGCUUAUGCUGCAGAGGAUAAAACAUCAGUUGAUGAUAGACUAAGCAUCCUGCUGAAGGGGAAAAUGAAGGUCUCUUAUCGAGGGCAUUUUCUGCAUAAUAUUUACCCCUGUGCCUUUAUAGAUUCUCCUGAAUUUCGAUCAACUCAGAUGAAUCGGGGUGAGAAAUUCCAGGUCACCAUUAUUGCAGAUGAUAACUGCAAGUUCCUGUGCUGGUCCAGGGAAAGGCUGACUUUUUUUCUGGAAUCUGAGCCAUUUCUUUAUGAGAUCUUUAGAUAUCUCAUUGGCAAAGAUAUUACAAAUAAACUCUACUCAUUGAAUGAUCCAACUUUAAAUGACAAGGCCUCAAAAAAGAUUGAUCGGCAGCCUAGUCUCUGCUCACAGCUCUCUGUGAUGCAGAUGAGAAACAGCAUGGCCAGUACCAGUGACAGUGAAGAUGGCUUACAGAUGUUUCUCCGUGGGACUUCCUCUGCAUCCUCUCUUCUGCUCAUCCAAGAACUCCUUCAGGCUUGGAGGGCCAAUCUCUUUCCUCUCCUUACCGUUGAUAUAAUCUGCAUUCCCAAAUAGACGGAAGCAAAAGCCCUGCUAGUGUUUCACCCUGCUAGAAUGUUGAGAGUGACAGCUGGGAUAUAGUUGUUAAAGACUGGUGAAAAUUCUAGCUUUAUUUUCUUUUUCUCCUCUGUUCCCUGAAAGGACAUUUAGAAUCACAGAAUAAUUGAAGUAUGAAAGGACCUCUGCAGAUUGUCUAGCCCAAAAUCCUGCUCAAAGCAGGGCCAACUAAAGCAGGUUGCUCAGGAGCAUGUCCACUAAAGCUUUGAAUAUUUCCAAGGCUGAAGGUUCCACAGCCUCUCUGAGCAACCUGUUCCAGUGCCUGACUACCCUUGUGAAAAAUUUUUCCUUGUAUGUAUUCUGAAUUUCUUUUAUCACAACCCAUGACCGUUGUCCCCUGUUCUUUAGUGCAUGCCUCUGAGAAGAGUUUGACUCUGUCUUCUUUAUAACCUCCUGUUAGGUAGCUGAAGAUAGCAGUAAGAUCACCUGUGAGCCUUUUCUUCAUAAGGCUGAACAAACCAGUUCUCUCAGCCUCUCUGUGUAUGUCAUGUGCUUCAGCCCGUGACCAUCUUGGUUGCCCUCCACUGCACUCAGAUGACAGGUCCAGCAGAGUGCCUCCCAUAAUUGGCUCAUCAAUCACCUGUGUGAAGAAAUCAUCCUCAUUCAGAAAUCUCCUGGACUGCUUACACCAAGCCCUUUCUACCAGAUAUCAGGGUGGUUAAAGUUCCCCACAAGUACCAAGGCCUGCGAUCAUGAGGUUUCAUCCAGUUGUCUAAAGAAGGCUUCAGUCUACUUCCUCUUCUUUAUCAGGCAGCCUGUAGCAGAUACCUACCAUGAAGUCUGCCAUGUUGGUGUGUCCUCAGAUAUUUACUCAUAAGGUGUCGACUGGCUUUUCACCUGUUCCAAGGCAAAGCUCCAUGCCUUCAAGCCGCUCCUUUGCAUAGAGUGCACUUGGACAGAUCUACUCACUUGGAAGCCUGAAAGAAAUUGUAAAACUGUAUUUGUGCAAUUAGCUAGAAUUGAAAUUCUCUUUCAGGCUUAGCAGCAGAACACUUGCACCACUAUUUCAGCUUUGGGAGAAAGUAAUCUAAAUGUAUGCAAUUUUAAGCCAUAAUUACAUUAAUCCCUAAGAUGCAUCUAUUCUUAGCACAUACUUGAUAAACACACUACUCUAUUAUACUUCUUUUUUAUAUAUAUACUAUAUUUUCUUGUGUUUGCUGUGUACUUUCCCCCAAAAGGGUGUUUAAAUGUCUCUAAUGUUGUGAAAUUACCUGCCGCAGCAGCUGUUGGUGUUGAUACUGCCACCACACCAUUGGCAACAAUGGAUGUGGUAGCAACCUCCAGAGUCCAAUUUUUCACUUAUUUUGGGGAAGGCAGGGAGGGUACCCAUAUAGCAGUGUAUGACACACCUCAGGAAAUAUGGUCAUUUAUUUUUCUUUGCCUUUUGAUUAAUGCAAAAUUUCUGACUUCCAUGCUUCUGACUUGAUAAAAGAUUGUAUAUUUCACCAAGCUGUAAUGCUUCAAUUUUUCUUUUUGCUGAAAUAGCUGGUUAGUCUGUUACUCCUACGUAAUGUCAUUGCCAAUGAUGGGUUUCCUAUCAAGGUGAGCUCUGCCUGAAGAUUGGUAUUGAUACCGUACUGUAGCCGUGUCUGCACUUUUCUUCAGAGUCCAGAGAAAACUGAGGAAAAAAAGCUGCCAUUUAACUUAACCCUAUUGUGUUUUUAAAAAAAUUUUCCUGGAUGCUGCAUAGUCAGUCAGCUUUUGUAUUUUUUAGAAUUUGGUAUGAGGUACCUGCUGAAGCACGCUGUCCCAGUGCUGUAUUGUAUCCUCCUUCUGCAGCCAUGAAUUAGUUUGUUAAAAGCAAAAAAAAAAAAAAAAAAAAAAAAGAGAAACAUAGAAUUUUAGAUUUUAGUGAGGAGCAUAUGGAAAUGACAUAUCUCCUUUUUAGAAAAAAAUAAACGUAUAUGUACAGGA